rnacentral:lncRNA from 1 species
GUUGAAACGGGCUCUGCCACUGGAGCAGGUCCAGGAACAUUGCAAUCUGCUGCUAUCAAUUAUUAACCAGCUCAGGAGUCAAUGGUAGCCUGCCGACCUCUUGCCUGGCAGCUCGAGUCCUCCUUGUUCUCCAGUGAUUGUUCUCCAGUAACCAGGCCUCUCCCCUUUCUCUCUCCUGCCAGAGUCUUUUCCUGACAUCUCCCUGAACAAUGAGAAGGUGAUGGUAGAGACAAGUUACCCCAGCCAAACCACUCGGCUGCCCCCCAUCACCUACACUGGCCGCUUCUCUCUGGAGCCUGCACCCAACAGUGGCAACACCUUGUGGCCUGAGCCCCUCUUCAGUCUAGUUAGUGGCCUGGUGAGCAUGACCAACCCACCGGCCUCCUCAUCUUCAGCACCAUCUCCAGCGGCUUCCUCCUCUUCCUCUGCCUCCCAGAGCCCACCACUCAGCUGCGCAGUGCCAUCCAAUGACAGCAGUCCCAUUUACUCAGCGGCACCCACCUUCCCCACGCCCAACACUGACAUUUUCCCUGAGCCACAAGGCCAGGCCUUUCCGGGCUCUGCAGGCACAGCACUUCAGUACCCGCCUCCUGCCUACCCUGCUGCCAAGGGUGGCUUCCAGGUUCCCAUGAUCCCCGACUACCUGUUUCCACAGCAGCAAGGAGACCUGGGCCUGGGCACCCCAGAUCAGAAGCCCUUCCAGGGCCUAGAGAGCCGUACCCAGCAGCCUUCACUUACUCCACUCUCUACUAUAAAGGCCUUUGCCACUCAGUCGGGCUCGCAGGACCUAAAGGCCCUCAAUACCACCUACCAGUCCCAGCUCAUCAAACCAAGCCGCAUGCGCAAGUACCCCAACCGACCCAGCAAGACGCCCCCUCACGAACGCCCUUAUGCCUGCCCAGUGGAGUCUUGUGAUCGCAGGUUCUCCCGUUCUGACGAGCUCACUCGCCACAUCCGCAUCCACACAGGCCAGAAGCCCUUCCAGUGUCGCAUUUGCAUGCGCAACUUCAGCCGCAGUGACCAUCUUACCACUCACAUUCGCACCCACACAGGCGAGAAGCCCUUUGCCUGUGACAUCUGUGGGAGAAAGUUUGCCAGGAGUGACGAGAGGAAGAGGCAUACCAAGAUCCACUUGCGGCAGAAGGACAAGAAAGCAGACAAAAGUGUUGUGGCCUCUUCGGCCACCUCCUCCCUUUCUUCCUACUCAUCCCCAGUUGCUACCUCUUACCCAUCCCCUGUCACUACCUCUUACCCAUCCCCUGCCACCACCUCAUACCCAUCUCCAGUGCCCACUUCCUACUCCUCUCCUGGCUCCUCAACCUAUCCAUCCCCUGUGCACAGUGGCUUCCCCUCACCCUCUGUGGCCACCACCUAUGCCUCGGUUCCCCCUGCAUUCCCCACCCAGGUCAGCAGCUUCCCUUCCUCGGCUGUCACCAACUCCUUCAGCGCCUCCACAGGUCUUUCGGACAUGACUGCAACCUUUUCUCCCAGGACAAUUGAAAUUUGCUGAAGGAAAAAUGAAAACAAAGGGAAAGGGAGAAAAAAGAAACACAAGAGACAUAAAGGACAGCAGGAGGAGAUGGUUGAGAAAGAGGGGGAAUCUCCUAGAUGGAGGUUCUCAGAGCCAAGUCCUCCCUCUCUACUCAGAGUGGAAGGUCUGUUGGCCAACAAUCCUUUCUUCCUGAUUCCCCUUCCUCCCUAAUUCCUGUUCCCUUUGACUUCAGCUGCCUGAAACAGCCAUGUCCAAGUUCUUCACCUCUAUCCAAAGAACUUGAUUUGCAUGGAUAUUGGAUAAAUCAUUUCAGUAUCAUCUCCAUCGUAUGCCUGACCCCUUGCUCCCUUCAAUGCUAGAAAAUUGAGUUGGCAAAAUGGGGUUUGGGCCCCGUAGAGCCCUGCCCUGUACCCUUGUACAGUGUCUGUGCCAUGGAUUUUGUUUUUCUUGGGGUACUCUUGAUGUGAAGAUAAUUUGCAUAUUCUAUUGUAUUUGGAGUUAGAUUCUCACUUGGGGUGGGGGGGAAGAAAAGCCAAGCAAACCAAUGGUGAUCCUCUAUUUUGUGAUGAUGCUGUGACAAUAAGUUUGGAGCUUUUUUGAAACAGCAGUCCUAGGUAUUAAUCAGAGCAUGUGUCAGAGUGUUGUUCCGUUAACCUUUUUGUAAAUAUUGCUCGACUGUACUCUCACAUGUGGCAAAAUAUGGUUUGGUUUUUCUUUUCUUUUGAAAAUUUUCUUCCGUCCUCUUGGUUUAAAAAGUUUCACGUCUUGGUGCCUUUUGUGUGAUGCGCCUUGCUGAUGGCUUGACAUGUGCAAUUGUGAGGGACAUGCUCACCUCUAGCCUUAAGGGGGGCAGGGAGUGCUGAUUUGGGGGAGGCUUUGGGAGCAAAAUAAGAAAGAGGGCUGAGCUGAGCCUUGGUUCUCCAGAAUGUAAGAAAACAAUCUAAAACAAAAUCUGAACUCUCAAAAGUCUAUUUUUUUAACUGAAAAUGUAAAUUUAUACAUAUAUUCAGGAGUUGGAAUGUUGUAGUUACCUACUGAGUAGGCGGCAAUUUUUGUAUGUUAUGAACAUGCAGUUCAUUAUUUUGUGGUUUAUUUUACUUUGUACUUGUGUUUGCUUAAACAAAGUGACUGUUUGGCUUAUAAACACAUUGAAUGCGCUUUAUUGCCCAUGGGAUAUGUGGUGUAUAUCCUUCAGAAAAAUUAAAAGGAAAAUAAAGUAGAUGUGA